CUGGCUGGUAAUUUUCAGAGUGGGGUAGAGACACUGAUAAUCCCUCACACUACUGUCUAGUUAAUAUUUUUAAGAUUUGAGAGAAAGAGAGAGAGAGAGUGUGUGUGUGUGUGUGUGUGGGUGGGUGGAUGGGUGGGUGGCAGGGGCAGAGGGAGAGGCGGAGAAAGAAUCCUCAAGCAGACUCUCCACUGAGCGUGGAGCCUGACGUGGGGCUCGAUUCCAGGACCCAGAGAUCAUGACCUAAGCCGAAAUUUAGAGUUGGCUGCUUCACCAACUCUGCCACCCAGGUGCCUCUGUCUGGUUAAUAUUUAAUGUGAAGACUCAACAAGUAUUUUUGACCAAAGCAGAAUGGGAAUGGCAAGACUUCUCACCCUUGGCCACAGGCAAUACCGAACUAAUCUCUAAAGAUCUUUCAAGGAUCCCCUUAAAAAGAUGUGCAUGUCAACCUCAGUUAAGAAUCAGAUCCAUAAAUACCUAUUAAACAGGGUGAGGGACACAUCCCAGAAUUGCAAUGAACUCCUGGCUUGCUAUGGACCUGGUCAGAGGCAGCUCCAUGAGGGGAGGAAAUGAGUCACAAUCACCUUGGAAUCCUCACACUCACCAUUGUGUCUGGUACAUACUAUGUAUGUGAUCAAUCUUGCAAAAAUGAAGGAAGACCUUAUUUAGGUGUCUGCCCAGCCAAGGAUGCCCAGAGCAGAUGUCCUCCGCAUGCACCAGUCCACCGCGCUGAUAAACUCCAGAAAGACGCAAGGCCCACCUUAGCCAGUUUACACACAUGGUGUCUGAUCUUUGCAAAACCUGGCUUCCCUGACCAUUACCUUCCUUCUUCACAGGGUUUCAGGGGCCCAGAGGAGUUUUAUGACUUAGGCAAGAUCACAAAGGAUUGGUUUAGCCUCCUCCAGAAGUGGAUGAGAAUUCUGGAUCUGCCACUUGCUGUGUGAAUUUUACCAACUUACUCCAAACUCUCUGAGACUCACUUUCUUCAAAUUAGGUGUAACAGUAAUGCCUACUCUCCAAAGUUUUGAGAAUGAGGUAAGAUAAUGCAUUUAGAAGUGCUUUCCUUAAUGCCAAGCACAAUGAAUAUGAUCCACAAACUUCAGGCAUUAUUUGUAUAAUUCUUUCUAAAAACUACAUUUCAGACUUAACAGCAAUCAGAGAGGAGAAUCAGGACCAGUGGGUAAAAAACGACAAAGUGGAAGCUUUGGCCUCAACAUAAGAAAUAGGCUUCAAAUAUUUAAUGUUUUCUAGAGACGUAACAGAUUGAUGAUGAACUUCCAAUUCUAGAGGUUUCCACUCAGAAAAGGAAGAUUCUCUGUUUAAGGACACCAUGACGGGCUGAGCAUCAGAAGCAUGAUUUUAGGAUGCGCUUCCAAGGAUUCUUUCAUCACUGAAACUUAUCAACCCUUUGAGAGGCACCACUAUCCUGCCAGUUUAAUUUCCAGCAUAUCCCAAAACCAAGGAUUUCCAGAUCCUCCACCCACAUCUUUCCAGUCCUCAUUCCUUAACAAGACUUGCAAUCACUUACACAUUAAAGAACUGUGAUACAAAUUUGACCGGACUCACUACACCCGCGCUAUCCUCCAAUACUGUGAAAAGCUAAUUUCAGCUGUCACUUACUGGAAGUAAAAUGACAAAUAUCUGUAAUAUCUGUCAGGUUAUGAAUGCUUUAAAAAGAGUUAUGCAGCUGUCAACAUUUUGAUGACAAGAGAAAAGUAAACGAAGAACAGGAAACAGCACGUCUGUGGAGUAUCCAGUUGCCAAACUUCUCUAUGACUUAUAUUAAUAAAAAUCAAAUUACCUCUAUAAAAAAAUGCA
rnacentral:lncRNA from 1 species